UACACAGCACAGAACCCCAGUGCCCAGGCACUGGGCCUGGGCAAACAUAAUUACUGCCGAAUCCUGAUGGGGAUGCCAAGCCCUGGUGCCACGUGCUGAAGAACCGCAGGCUGACGUGGGAGUACUGUGAUGUGCCCUCCUGCCCACCUGCGGCCUGAGACAGUACAGCCAGCCUCAGUUUCGCAUCAAAGGAGGGCUCUUCGCCGACAUCGCCUCCCACCCCUGGCAGGCUGCCAUCUUUGCCAAGCACAGGAGGUCGCCCGGAGAGCGGUUCCUGUGCGGGGGCAUACUCAUCAGCUCCUGCUGGAUUCUCUCUGCCGCCCACUGCU
rnacentral:lncRNA from 1 species